rnacentral:rRNA from 1 species
ACGCUGGCGGCGUGCCUAACACAUGCAAGUCGAACGGAGAUAUGAUUUCGGUUGUAUCUUAGUGGCGAACGGGUGAGUAACGCGUGAACAACCUGACUCUAAGAGGGGGAUAACACUCGGAAACGGGUGCUAAUACCGCAUAAGACCACGACCUGGCAUCAGGAUGAGGUCAAAGGAGCAAUCCGCUGAGAGAGGGGUUCGCGUCCCAUUAGAUAGAUGGCGGGUAACGGCCCACCAUGUCAACGAUGGGUAGCCGAGCUGAGAGGCUGAUCGGCCACACUGGAACUGAGACACGGUCCAGACUCCUACGGGAGGCAGCAGUGGGGAAUAUUGGGCAAUGGGCGCAAGCCUGACCCAGCAACGCCGCGUGAGGGAAGAAGGCUUUCGGGUUGUAAACCUCUGUCCUUGGUGACGAAACAAAUGACGGUAGCCAAGGAGAAAGCCCCGGCUAACUACGUG